rnacentral:rRNA from 1 species
UACGUAGGUGGCAAGCGUUGUCCGGAUUUACUGGGCGUAAAGAGCGCGCAGGCGGUCGUUCAAGUCGCGUGUGAAAGCCCCCGGCUCAACUGGGGAGGGUCACGCGAUACUGAUCGACUCGAAGGCAGGAGAGGGUAGUGGAAUUCCCGGUGUAGUGGUGAAAUGCGUAGAUAUCGGGAGGAACACCAGUGGCGAAGGCGACUACCUGGCCUGUUCUUGACGCUGAGGCGCGAAAGCUAGGGGAGCAAACGGGGAUUAAGAAACCC